rnacentral:rRNA from 1 species
UACGGAGGGAGCUAGCGUUGUUCGGAAUUACUGGGCGUAAAGCGCGCGUAGGCGGCUUUGUAAGUUAGAGGUGAAAGCCCGGAGCUCAACUCCGGAACUGCCUUUAAAACUGCAUCGCUUGAAUCCAGGAGAGGUGAGUGGAAUUCCGAGUGUAGAGGUGAAAUUCGUAGAUAUUCGGAAGAACACCAGUGGCGAAGGCGGCUCACUGGUCCGGUACUGACGCUGAGGUGCGAAAAGCGGUGGGGGAGCAAACAGGG